GACGAACGCUGGCGGCGUGCUUAACACAUGCAAGUCGAACGGAAAGGCCCUGCUUUUGUGGGGUGCUCGAUUGGCGAACGGGUGAGUAACACGUGAGUAACCUGCCCUUGACUUUGGGAUAACUUCAGGAAACUGGGGCUAAUACCGGAUAGGAGCUCCUGCUGCAUGGUGGGGGUUGGAAAGUUUCGGCGGUUGGGGAUGGACUCGCGGCUUAUCAGCUUGUUGGUGGGGUAGUGGCUUACCAAGGCUUUGACGGGUAGCCGGCCUGAGAGGGUGACCGGCCACAUUGGGACUGAGAUACGGCCCAGACUCCUACGGGAGGCAGUAGUGGGGAAUAUUGCAGAAUGGGCGGACGCCUGAUGUAGCAACGCCGCGUGCGGGAUGACGGCCUUCGGGUUGUAAACAGCUUUCGACUGUGACGAAGAGUGAGUGACGGUAAUGGGUAAAGAAGCACCGGCUAACUACGUG
rnacentral:rRNA from 1 species